rnacentral:rRNA from 1 species
GAGUUUGAUCGUGGCUCAGAUUGAACGCUGGCGGCAUGCCUUACACAUGCAAGUCGAACGGCAGCACGGGAGCUUGCUCCUGGUGGCGAGUGGCGGACGGGUGAGUAAUGCAUCGGAACGUAUCCUGGAGUGGGGGAUAACGUAGCGAAAGUUACGCUAAUACCGCAUAUUCUGUGAGCAGGAAAGCGGGGGACCUUCGGGCCUCGCGCUCUUGGAGCGGCCGAUGUCGGAUUAGCUAGUUGGUGAGGUAAAGGCUCACCAAGGCGACGAUCCGUAGCAGGUCUGAGAGGAUGAUCUGCCACACUGGAACUGAGACACGGUCCAGACUCCUACGGGAGGCAGCAGUGGGGAAUUUUGGACAAUGGGGGCAACCCUGAUCCAGCCAUGCCGCGUGAGUGAAGAAGGCCUCGGUUGUAAG